GUUUUAUGGAAUUCGGUGACGACCGACCUGCAGAAGAAAAAUUUGAUGCUUCGCAGUAUGCAUUCUUUGGUAAUGAUGUUGUUGAAGAAGUUGAACUGGGUGGAUUGGAAGAUGAAGAGGAUGAUAGUCUUCCUCCGGUUGGGUUUGAUGAUGAAGAGUAUCAAUUAGGCCGAGAAGAGGGUGGAGCUUUUGGAUCUUUAUCUGAGAUUGAUGACCUUAACAACACAUUUUCCAAGUUUAACAAGGAUGAUGGUGGUGCCAUAAGGCCAGGAUUUAUUGGUGAUCGGGAAUACAGAGAGAGCUCAUCAGCUGUUGAGUGGUCACAAGAUGCAGAAUUUCGUAGUUGGAUUGACCGGAAAGCUCUUGAUGGGGGUGAAAUCAAUGACAGCAAAAGAUGGCCAUCAGUGCCAUAUUCUUCUGCUGCUCACCUUUUGGAAUCAAAUACUUUGUACAGGACUUCCUCAUACCCUGAGCAACAACAGCAACAUGAAUAUCAGCAGCAAACCCUGAACCAACACUACUCCAGUGAACCAGGACUCAUCCCAGAAUUGCCUUUCCCUUCAUUCCCUCCUAGUGCAAGGCAUCCACAAGCCUCCACAAAUAACCAGUUACGGAACCCAAAUGGUCCAAAUCAUCCCGGUGGACAGCAAAUGCCAGUUUCCUCUCCGAACUUUUCUCCCUUCUUAAACACUGCAAAUCAAUUAGCUGCCUCGCAUCUUGGCCCGCAGUAUGGUGGAAAGUUUGCUCAGGGCACGCCUGCUGGGCUUCCCCUUCAUAAUCAAAUUCCAAGCCAAUGGUUGAAGCAGUCUACUUUAUAUCCAGGGGAGCAAUCAAGCAUGACCAGUAAUAUGAUGCCCCAGCAGUCACAUCGCCAAAAUGGUUUCGCAACACCACAUGGGGGGCUGCAGCUACCCCAGCAACCUGGCCAACAGCACCCCUUGCGUCCACCCUAUGGCCGUUUGCCAGGGUUGCAAUCUCAACUUAUUAAUCACCAUAUGUCUCCACCCUCGCAGAUGAUGAACAAUUUUGAUAUGCUUGGGUUGGCUGAUUUAAGAGAUCAAAAGGCAAAACUAAUGCUGAGAGGCAGACAGGGCAUGCAUUACCCUCAACUAGGCUUUGAUAUCAGUAGCCAGAGAAAUGUUAGCGCAUGGACAAGAUUUAGAUCCAAGUACAUGUCAACAGAUGAAUUAGAGAAUAUUCUUAGAGCACAGCUGGCUGCUACCCAUAGCAAUGAUCCUUAUGUUGAUGAUUAUUAUCACCAAGCUUGUCUGGCCAAAAAGUCUGCUGGUGCAAAGUUGAAGCACCAUUUCUGCCCAAAUAAUUUGAGGGAUGGUAGUGCUCGAAGUCGUGCUAAUACUGAUCCACAUCCUUUUCUCCAGGUUGAUGCUCUUGGAAGAGUUGCUUUCUCUUCUAUUCGCAGGCCCCGACCGCUUCUUGAAGUUGAUCCACCAAAAUCAUGUGCUACUGGAUGCAUUGAACAGAAAAUGUCUGAGAAACCCCUGGAGCAAGAGCCAAUGCUAGCAGCUAGGGUGACUAUUGAGGAUGGACUUAGUCUUCUUCUCGAUGUUGAUGAUAUUGACCGGUUCCUACAGUUUAACCAGCUUCCAGAUGGAGGAGAUCAGUUGAAACGCAGGCGGCAGGUUCUGCUUGAGGAUUUGGCCUCAUCACUUCAGCUAGUUGACCCUCUUGGCAAAAGUGUCCACACUGUGAAUUUGGCUGCUAAAGAUGAUGUUGUCUUCUUGAGGAUCGUCUCACUUCCCAAGGGCCGGAAACUGCUAGUACGGUACCUUCAGCUUCUUUUCCCUGGAAGUGAACUGACCAGGGUGGUUUGCAUGGCUAUUUUCCGUCAUCUAAGGUUCUUGUUUGGUGGGAUUCCAAGUGAUCACGGUGCAACCGAGACUACUGUGAACCUUGGAAGGACCGUGUCGCUUUGUAUUUGUGAAAUGGAGCUCAAAGCACUCGCUGCUUGUCUUGCAUCAGUGGUUUGUUCAGCAGAGCCUCCUCCGCUCCGUCCUGUUGGAAGCCCUGCUGGAGAUGGGGCAUCUGUUGUUCUAAAAUCUAUUCUUGAGAGGGCGACUGAGCUCUUAAGAGAUCCCCAUGCAGCUGGCAAGUGCAGCAUGCCUAAUAGGGCAUUCUGGCAGGCCUCGUUUGAUGCAUUUUUUGGGUUACUCACGAAAUACUGUUUCAGCAAAUACGACACUGUAAUGCAAUGUUUCUUGACACAAGGCCCACCGGAUGUGGCUGUUAGUGGAUCUGAUGCAGCCAAAGCUAUUAGUAGGGAGAUGCCUGUUGAACUUUUGCGUGCGAGUCUUCCUCACACUAGUGAACAACAGAGAAAGGUCCUGUUAGAAUUUGCACAUAGGUCCAUGCCUGUGCUAGGUGUUGGUAGCCAAAGUGGGGCAAGUGGUGGUACAUGACUUUUAUUGGAGAUUGAUAUCAGGUAUUUGAUGUUCCCUUGAAGAUUGUCAUGAGGACAUGGAGUCGGAUCAUCUGUAAUAUUCUGGUCGGAGAGCAAGAAACUUCAUUCUCUUUAGACAUGGAUGUGGUCAUCCCUGUUGGUACUGUGCUGCUUCAGACAAAGUUGUGAAGUAGGCUGUUGCUGUAAUAUGUUCUAGUUUUCUUUUUAAUCUGGAGUUUUAUCGUAUGCUGUUUUCUCAUCCAUGAUAGUCCUAUUUUCUGAGGGAUUUUUUAGUAUAACUUUGUACAGUGUUCAACUAGAGAAAACAUUCAGCUUCUAGUUUUGGAGGAUAUGGGGAGGAAUUUGUUAUAAGUUCCCAAUGUUUGAUAAUUAUGUGAAUGAAUGUUGAAGCUUU
rnacentral:misc_RNA from 1 species